GUGUUUACUGUACCUUAGUUGCUUCGGCGGGCCCGCCAUUCAUGGCCGCCGGGGGCUCUCAGCCCCGGGCCCGCGCCCGCCGGAGACACCACGAACUCUGUCUGAUCUAGUGAAGUCUGAGUUGAUUGUAUCGCAAUCAGUUAAAACUUUCAACAAUGGAUCUCUUGGUUCCGGCAUCGAUGAAGAACGCAGCGAAAUGCGAUAACUAGUGUGAAUUGCAGAAUUCCGUGAAUCAUCGAGUCUUUGAACGCACAUUGCGCCCCCUGGUAUUCCGGGGGGCAUGCCUGUCCGAGCGUCAUUGCUGCCCAUCAAGCACGGCUUGUGUGUUGGGUCGUCGUCCCCUCUCCGGGGGGGACGGGCCCCAAAGGCAGCGGCGGCACCGCGUCCGAUCCUCGAGCGUAUGGGGCUUUGUCACCCGCUCUGUAGGCCCGGCCGGCGCUUGCCGAACGCAAAUCAAUCUUUUUCCAGGUUGACCUCGGAUCAGGUAGGGAUACCCGCUGAACUUAAGCAUAUCAAUAA
rnacentral:rRNA from 2 species